rnacentral:rRNA from 1 species
GAUGAACGCUGGCGGCGUGCUUAACACAUGCAAGUCGAACGAUGAAGCCCAGCUUGCUGGGUGGAUUAGUGGCGAACGGGUGAGUAACACGUGAGUAACCUGCCCUUAACUCUGGGAUAAGCCUGGGAAACUGGGUCUAAUACCGGAUAGGAGCGUCCACCGCAUGGUGGGUGUUGGAAAGAUUUAUCGGUUUUGGAUGGACUCGCGGCCUAUCAGCUUGUUGGUGAGGUAAUGGCUCACCAAGGCGACGACGGGUAGCCGGCCUGAGAGGGUGACCGGCCACACUGGGACUUAGACACGGCCCAGACUCCUACGGGAGGCAGCAGUGGGGAAUAUUGCACAAUGGGCGAAAGCCUGAUGCAGCGACGCCGCGUGAGGGAUGACGGCCUUCGGGUUGUAAACCUCUUUCAGUAGGGAAGAAGCGAAAGUGACGGUACCUGCAGAAGAAGCACCGGCUAACUACGUG